rnacentral:rRNA from 1 species
GACGAACGCUGGCGGCGUGCUUAACACAUGCGAGUCGAACGGAAAGGCCCUGCUUUUGUGGGGUGCUCGAGUGGCGAACGGGUGAGUAACACGUGAGUAACCUGCCCUUGACUUUGGGAUAACUUCAGGAAACUGGGGCUAAUACCGGAUAGGAGCUCCUGCUGCAUGGUGGGGGUUGGAAAGUUUCGGCGGUUGGGGAAGGACUCGCGGCUUAUCAGCUUGUUGGUGGGGUAGUGGCUUACCAAGGCUUUGACGGGUAGCCGGCCUGAGAGGGUGACCGGCCACAUUGGGACUGAGAUACGGCCCAGACUCCUACGGGAGGCAGCAGUGGGGAAUAUUGCACAAUGGGCGGAAGCCUGAUGCAGCAACGCCGCGUGCGGGAUGACGGCCUUCGGGUUGUAAACCGCUUUCGCCUGUGACGAAGCGUGAGUGACGGUAAUGGGUAAAGAAGCACCGGCUAACUACGUG